rnacentral:rRNA from 1 species
GAUGAACGCUGGCGGCGUGCCUAAUACAUGCAAGUCGAGCGAACAGACGAGGAGCUUGCUCCUCUGACGUUAGCGGCGGACGGGUGAGUAACACGUGGAUAACCUACCUAUAAGACUGGGAUAACUUCGGGAAACCGGAGCUAAUACCGGAUAAUAUAUUGAACCGCAUGGUUCAAUAGUGAAAGACGGUUUUGCUGUCACUUAUAGAUGGAUCCGCGCCGCAUUAGCUAGUUGGUCAGGUAACGGCUUACCAAGGCAACGAUGCGUAGCCGACCUGAGAGGGUGAUCGGCCACACUGGAACUGAGACACGGUCCAGACUCCUACGGGAGGCAGCAGUAGGGAAUCGUCCGCAAUGGGCGAAAGCCUGACGGAGCAGCGCCGCGUGAGUGAUGAAGGUCUUCGGAUCGUAAAACUCUGUUAUUAGGGAAGAACAAAUGUGUAAGUAACUAUGCACGUCUUGACGGUACCUAAUCAGAAAGCCACGGCUAACUACGUG